UACAGAGGUCUCAAGCGUUGUUCGGAUUCAUUGGGCGUAAAGGGUGCGUAGGCGGCGCGGUAAGUCGGGUGUGAAAUUUCGAGGCUUAACUUCGAAACUGCAUUCGAUACUGCCGUGCUAGAGGACUGGAGAGGAGACUGGAAUUUACGGUGUAGCGGUGAAAUGCGUAGAUAUCGGGAAGAACACCCGUGGCUAAGGCGGCUCUCUAGUACGGUACUGACGCUGAGACGCGAAAGCGUGGGGAGCGAACAGG
rnacentral:rRNA from 1 species